UCUUCAUAUUCAUUAUUUUAAUCUGCUUAAAAUAUAUAUGAAAAACUAAAAUGAAAAAAGUUUAACAGAUAUCUAACAGCUUUGAGUUUAGAUUUCCAAAUAUUUUUCUUUUCGAAAUGUUUUUUUUUCAAAUACACUUCAAAAAAUUUUCAAUUUUUAUAAUGUAAAACGUUUUAAAUAAGUUUAAACGGGUCUAAAUUUAGUAAUGUAAUUAUCAUAAUCUAAUAUGUAACUUUAUUAAAUAUUAAAAUAAAAUGGACAUGGACAGAGUUUGACUUUAGGAUGAGAUCUCAAAUGAGACGGGUGAGUAAGACGAGUUCACUUAUUUUCAUUUUUCUUACAAAUUUUUUGACAUUUAGUAAAACACUUUUGCAACACAAAAAUAUUAAAAACGCAGAUCAAAAUAUAGUUAUACUUUAUAAUGACAACUAAUCCUACUAAAACCAUUCUAGUUAAUGGACAAUUUUGUUUUGUCAAAAAACAAUCUGUACUUUUAUAUUAUAUCUCUUAAAUUUAGAAAUUUAAUUUAAAAUCAACGGUCAAUGUAUAUAGUGACUUAAUGCUCGGUGAUAAUAAAAUGUUGUCAAUUACUCUAUCUGUUUUUAUAAUAAAUGGCGUUUAACCUUUUUGCCAACAAAUUAAGAAAAAUUAAUAUUUUCUAUUUUCUUCUUUUUAAUAGAUUAUUUUGUUUGUUUUGUUAAUUAAUUAAUUAAAAAUAAAAUUUAAAAUUUAGAUAAUUAUUUAAUAUGUGUAUUGAAAAAAAUAAAAUGAUGAAAAAAAUUAAAAGUAAAACAACGUUUAAUAUGAAAGAUAAAAAGUAUGAUUUAUUAAGUUCUUAUCAGUUUUGUUUUUAGUUAAUUUCUAGAUAUUUUUCCUAUUUAGGUUGAUUGCUAAUGACUGUAGUUUUAAAUCUUUUGUUGUAAAAAAAUGCUUUAGAUUUUUUUUUUGUGGUUUUAGAUUUAUUGCUGUAGGAUUUUAUGGAAAAUCAUAUAAAUUGUUUUGUGUAUUUGGCUCUACAAACUAUUUGUACAGUUAAUAAAAAUUGACUUUAAUUAAAGCUUGAUUGUUGUGAUUUUAGUGUUCUAGAAAUAAAUAAGACUGUGGACAACAUCUACAUCAAUUACCAAUCACACAAUUACAUUUGUAUUUCAAGUAUCUAAUCUAAUUAAUAAAAAGUUGACUCUAAUUAAUUAAAAUAAAGAAAGUUGACUCUCCUUUUUCUAUUUUUAUUAGGUACUUUGUAUAUAUAUAUUCACAUCUUAUUUGUUCUGUAUUUACGAAUACAAAACAACUACAUCAGUUUUUUUUUCAUUCUUAUUGUAUCAUUUGAAAUGGCUAAAACCAGCAUUCUUGGUAUUUUCAUGAUUGUUCUUGUUUUAGGAACAGUGACGAUGGAGUCACAAGGACAAUGCCAUGACUAUAUUGUUGAAUUAGGAAUUUGUGAACGUAAACAGUGUGCUGCUGAGUGUACUGCCAAGUGGAAAGGAUCUGGCAGGUGUAUUGAAGAUACCAAUAACUGCCUCUGCACUUUCAAAUGUAAAACUUAAUAUUUGUUUGUGAUUGAUAUGAUCAUAAAAUAUAUUAUUUAAUAAAAAUGGAUUGAGAAAUUA